CCCCGUGCGGCGUGCCUAUACAUGCAGUCGAGCGCGGGAAGCGAGUGGAAGUCCUUCGGGACGGAUACUCGUGGAACGAGCGGCGGACGGGUGAGUAACACGUGGGCAACCUACCUGUAAGACCGGAAUAACCCCGGGAAACCGGGGCUAAUGCCGGGUAACCAUUCGGUUCUCCUGAACCGAAUGUAAAAGGAUGGCUUCUUGCUAUCGCUUACAGAUGGGCCCGCGGCGCAUUAGCUAGUUGGUAAGGUAACGGCUUACCAAGGCGACGAUGCGUAGCCGACCUGAGAGGGUGAUCGGCCACACUGGGACUGAGACACGGCCCAGACUCCUACGGGAGGCAGCAGUAGGGAAUCUUCCGCAAUGGACGAAAGUCUGACGGAGCAACGCCGCGUGAACGAUGAAGGUCUUCGGAUCGUAAAGUUCUGUUGUGAGGGAAGAACAAGGACCGUGCGAACAGAGCGGUCCCUUGACGGUACCUCACGAGGAAGCCCCGGCUAACUACGUGCCAGCAGCCGCGGUAAUACGUAGGGGGCAAGCGUUGUCCGGAAUUAUUGGGCGUAAAGCGCACGCAGGCGGUUCCUUAAGUCUGAUGUGAAAGCCCGUGGCUCAACCACGGAGGGCCAUUGGAAACUGGGGAACUUGAGAACUGAAGAGGAGAGUGGAAUUCCACGUGUAGCGGUGAAAUGCGUAGAUAUGUGGAGGAACACCAGUGGCGAAGGCGACUCUCUGGUCGGUUUCUGACGCUGAGGUGCGAAAGCGUGGGUAGCAAACAGGAUUAGAUACCCUGGUAGUCCACGCCGUAAACGAUGAGUGCUAGGUGUUAGGGGGCUUCCACCCCUUAGUGCUGAAGUUAACGCAUUAAGCACUCCGCCUGGGGAGUACGGCCGCAAGGCUGAAACUCAAGGAAUUGACGGGGGCCCGCACAAGCGGUGGAGCAUGUGGGUUUAAUUCGAAGCAACGCGAGACCUUACCAGUCUUGACAUCCUUGGCUACUUCUAGAGAUAGAGUUCCUUCGGGACAGUGACAGUGGUGCAUGUGUCGUCAGCUCGUGUCGUGAGAAUUGUUGGGUA
rnacentral:rRNA from 1 species